UACGGAGGGGGCAAGCGUUGUUCGGAAUUACUGGGCGUAAAGGGUUUGUAGGUGGCCGGCUAAGUCAGACGUGAAAUCCCUCAGCUUAACUGGGGAACUGCGUCUGAAACUGAUCGGCUCGAGUGCAGGAGAGGAACGCGGAAUUCCAGGUGUAGCGGUGAAAUGCGUAGAUAUCUGGAGGAACACCGGUGGCGAAGGCGGCGUUCUGGACUGCAACUGACACUGUAAAACGAAAGCCAGGGGAGCAAACGGG
rnacentral:rRNA from 1 species